CCCCAUAACUCUAACCCUAACCCUGACCCCAUAACAGUAACCCUAACCCUGACCCCAUAACGCUAACCCUAACCCUGAUCCCAUAACGCUAACCCUAACCCUGACCCCAUAACUCUAACCCUAACCCUGACCCCAUAACUCUAACCCUAACCCUAACCCUAAUCCCUGUAGGAUUUUUCUCAGUGGGUUUUGGGUCUGUAGAAGUUUUCUCAAUGGGUUUCGGGUCCAGGAGGGUUUUCUCAAUGGGUUUUGUGUCCAUCGGAGUUUUCCCAAUGGGAUUUGGGCCCCGUGGGACUUUUCUCAAUGGGGUUUGGGUGUAUGGGAGAUUUCUCAAUGGGUUUUGGGCCCUUAGGAUUUUUCCCAAUAGGAUUUGGGUCUAUGGGAGUUUUCUCAAUGGGUUUCGGGUCCAUAGGAGUUCUCCCAAUGGGGUUUGGGCCCUGUGGGAAUUUGCUCAGUGGGUUUGGGGUCUGUAGGAUUUUUCUCAGUGGAUUUUGGCUCUGUAGAAGUUUUCUUUUUCAUUGAGUUUUGUGUCCGUAGGAGUUUUCCCAAUGGGUUUUGGGGUCUGUAGGAUUUUUCUCAGUGGAUUUUGGCUCUGUAGAAGUUUUCUUUUUCAAUGAGUUUUGGGUCUGUGGGAGUUUUCUCAAUGGGGUUUGGGGUCGAUGGGGGUUUUCUCCACGGAUUUUGUGUCCAUUGGAGUUUUCUCAAUGGGGUGUGGGCCCUGGGGGGGGGGCGGUUCUCAAUGGGUUUUGGGUCUAUAGGACUUUUUUUCAAUGGGUUUUGGAUCCAUGAGAGUUUUCCCAAUGGGUUUUGGGUCCAGAGGAAUUUUCCCGAUGGGGUUUGGGCCCCGCGGGAGUUUUCUCAGCGGCUUUUGUGUCUGUAGAAGGUUUUUUUUUUUUCAACGGGUUUUGGGUCCAUUGCAGUUUUCUCGAUGGGUUUUGGGCCCUACGGGAGUUUUCUCAAUGGGUUUUUGGGUCUAUGAGAGUUUUCUCAAUGGGGCUUUGGGCCCUCCGGGGGUUUCUCAAUGGCUUUCGGCCCGCAGAGGCUCCGGUUGGCGGCGGCUCCGAGCACCACCCGAGCAGCAGCGCGGCUCUCUCGGCCGGAAGGACGGCCCGCCGCUCCGGUUCGGUUCUGCCCCGCGGAGCGGUUGGGCCCGCCGGGUCCCGCGGCCGUCCGUCGCCGCGCUGUUUGUUUGCCCGUUGCCCGGAGCCGCGACCGUCCGCUGCGCUCCGCGCCUCUGCGGUUUCCCGUCCCCCGAAAGCGGUUAUUUGGGAUUUGAGUUUUUGUCGCUUUUCUUUUCCUGUUGUUAUCGGGGAGAUCCCAACCUCCGCUCGCGCUGACGCGGAGCUGACGGCAGCGCUACGAAUCGGGAAAGGGGGGGGGGGAGGGGGGGG
rnacentral:lncRNA from 1 species